GACGAACGCUGGCGGCGUGCCUAACACAUGCAAGUCGAACGGGGCACCUUCGGGUGCUUAGUGGCGAACGGGUGAGUAACGCGUGAGAAACCUGCCUCUCAGUGGGGGACAACAGUUGGAAACGACUGCUAAUACCGCAUAAUGUUAUCGGAGGGCAUCCUCUGAUAACCAAAGCUUUAUGUGCUGAGAGAUGGUCUCGCGUCUGAUUAGCUAGUUGGUGGGGUAACGGCCCACCAAGGCGACGAUCAGUAGCCGAGCUGAGAGGCUCAACGGCCACAUUGGGACUGAGAUACGGCCCAGACUCCUACGGGAGGCAGCAGUGGGGAAUAUUGGGCAAUGGGGGAAACCCUGACCCAGCAACGCCGCGUGAAGGAAGAAGGCCUUCGGGUUGUAAACUUCUUUUACCAGGGACGAAGAACGUGACGGUACCUGGAGAAAAGACAACGGCUAACUACGUG
rnacentral:rRNA from 1 species